CCGUGAUAGCUCAGUCGGUAGAGCGCCUCGCUGUUAACGAGGAUGUCCCAGGUUCGAG
rnacentral:tRNA from 1 species